rnacentral:rRNA from 1 species
UGGGGAAUAUUGCACAAUGGGCGCAAGCCUGAUGCAGCCAUGCCGCGUGUAUGAAGAAGGCCUUCGGGUUGUAAAGUACUUUCAGCGGGGAGGAAGGCGAUAAGGUUAAUAACCUUGUCGAUUGACGUUACCCGCAGAAGAAGCACCGGCUAACUCCGUGCCAGCAGCCGCGGUAAUACGGAGGGUGCAAGCGUUAAUCGGAAUUACUGGGCGUAAAGCGCACGCAGGCGGUCUGUCAUGUCGGAUGUGAAAUCCCCGGGCUCAACCUGGGAACUGCAUUCGAAACUGGCAGGCUAGAGUCUUGUAGAGGGGGGUAGAAUUCCAGGUGUAGCGGUGAAAUGCGUAGAGAUCUGGAGGAAUACCGGUGGCGAAGGCGGCCCCCUGGACAAAGACUGACGCUCAGGUGCGAAAGCGUGGGGAGCAAACA